GCCUCUGGCCAUUCAUCAAUGUUGGAUUCAGGAUUUGGAGAGUUGAAACGGAUUUGCUGUAUAUAAUUCAGACAGUGAAUUAUUUCAGUAAUUUUCAAUGAACAUAGUCUGACUAAAGUAUUAGCACCCACACAACCAAAUAAGACGGUUUUUCAACACAAGGAAACAACACUGAAAUAAAUAACAUACUUCCACCUCCUCUCCUUCCAACCACUGAACAAAUAAUGUGCAAGGUGUAGUCAAGUUAUGUUCUUCAAGAGUUCCAGUCAUAGUGCUUGAUAGCCGUGUGCCUGCACUUGGCAUGGCUCAACCAGAAUAUUUCACUGGCCGAGUCGUCAUUGCCAGCGUAAUCCAUAAGGUUCUAUUUAAAUACAAAAAAACAAAAAAAAAAAAAAAAAAACAAAGAAUAACCAGGAAAAACAUACACACUUAUAGCCUAUACAGAGGUUCAUGUACAGUACUAGUCAAAAGUUUUGACACUCUUUCCAAUUUUCUUGGAUGGUAAACUGUGUCCAAACUUUUGUCUGGUACUGUACUGCAAAAUAGCUCAACUUAAUUUAAAUAUCAAGAGAUCUUAGCAAACAACAUUUUGGUAAAUUUGAACCAAUUGAGAAAUAACAUGCUUGUUAAUCUCAAGAUGAGAGAGUAGAGUAGGAAACACCUGCAAUGACUGUGUAGGUAGGAACCUCCUCGACUUCAUGGAACCAUCACAGUAUUUGAGCUGGAUUCUGAAGCCAUCAAAAGGUUCAAGACACAGGCGACUGCAUCUUUCCAUUAAGGCCUUGUAAAAACAAGACAACACAGCUUUGGUAAUCAUCAAAGAAGUAAAGAUGAGAUUUACAUACAGUCCCAAAAAUCUAUCAAUGGGUGGGAGAGUGAGAGAUUUGCUUCUGGACCUAUCUGAACCUUGUCUGGACUGAGAAUAGAUGUGUGCUUGAGUUGGGAUUUACAAAAACAUCAGUAAAUUAACUACCAGGUCAAAUGUAUCAUUAUUUCAAUUAGGGGAAAUGGAAGGCUCACCUGAGCUGGAGGGCUAUGGUCGGAAAGAUAACGCUCAUCGAGGUGCGAUCCAUAAACUCCAACAGCUCUACAUAAGCAGGGCAGGAGAAUUGAGAAGGCUCAGCCUCAGCUUCUUCACCAUCCUCAAAUAUCUCCUGCUUUUCCUGGGUAAAAACCCAGCAGAGCACUAACCUCAGUAUCAGAAAGUGUUAAAGAUAUAACAUCAUCCUCCCGAGGCUCUCUCUCGUCCGACGCCAUUUUGAGCGCGAAAGGGAAAGUCCCUCUUUAAACCAUUCAGACAGAUCCACCUGAAAUUCUCACGAGCUCAUUCUCCUCUGUGCCUCAGCAACGGCGGGUCCUGAACCGCGGGAAGCAGAUGGCUGUCCUUUUUUUUUUUUUUUUCGGAAGAGAGACGAACGAGAGCG
rnacentral:lncRNA from 1 species